GACGAACGCUGGCGGCGUGCUUAAUACAUGCAAGUCGAACGGACCGAUCCCGCUUGUGUGGGGUGGUGGAGUGGCAAUCGCGUAAGUGUGACGAAAGCAUCGGGAAUUUGCCCUUAAGAUCGGUUUAAGAGAGUGAGGGUUAUACCAGAACGGAGCUCUCGUUGCUUGCCGGGGGGUGGGAAGUGUGAGCGGAUGGGGUUGGACUCGGGGCUCAUCACCUUGGUGGUGGGGUGGGGGCAAACCAAGGCAAUGACAGGUAGCCGGCCUGGGCGGGUGAGGGGCCACAGUGGGACUGAGAUACGGCCCAGACUCCUACGGGAGGCAGCAGUGGGGAAUAGGGAACAACGGGCGGAGGCCUGAGGCAGCAACGCCGCGGGCGGGAUGACGGCCUUCGGGUUGUAAACCGCUUCCUCCUGUGACGAAGCGUGAGUGACGGUAAUGGGUAAAGAAGCCCCGGCUAACUACGUG
rnacentral:rRNA from 1 species